UAUGUGGCUAUCAUUAAUUAGAAACUUAGAUAUUUAAAUACAAGGCAGGUGGCAACCGUUUGUUCUCAGAUUCUAACAAAAUCAUUCUAACCUUUGUUCUCCUGUUUAGUUUUAUGGCAUUUUCUGCUAUAUCUUCCAUUACCUCAAUCAACACUACUCACAACCAUCACCACAGUUCUUUAUUCUUUGCACCAAAACAGCAACAUCAUCGCAAUAACACAAAAAUCCAUAGGUUUCAAAUUCAAUGCAAUGGAAUAAACCAAAAUCAAGAGUCACAACUACAGACCAAUGCAUUUCUUAAGGUUGCAUGGUAUAGUUCUGAGCUUCUAGGCAUUGCUGCUUCUGCUUUCCGUUCUCCAUCUGAUGAAGAAUAAGCUUCUCCUCCUCAGAGACUUCUUCAAACCAUUGAUCGUGCUUCUGUUGCGGACACAAUCAAACAAGACUUCCAAAGAUCUUAUUUUGUCACAGGAGAUCCCACAUUGAAUUCAUAUGAAGAGGAUUGUGAAUUUGCGGAUCCAGCGGGAUCUUUUAAAGGACUUCAGCGUUUCAAAAGGAACUGCACUAAUUUUGGAUCACUUCUGGAGAAGUCAACUAUGAAUCUUAUGAAGUGGGAAGAUUUUGAGGAUAAAGGAAUUGGUCACUGGCGGUUCAGCUGUAUCUUGUCCUUUCCUUGGAAACCUAUUCUUUCUGCAACUGGAUACACAGAAUAUUACUUUGAUACACAAUCAGGAAAAGUAUGCAGGCAUGUGGAGCAUUGGAUUUAGCUUAAAAGAUUAUGUGACUAGGUGGUUGAAGUUGUCAAGGUGAAUAGGUAAAUUAUAAAGAUUAUGACAAUGUCAAUAUUUCAUUAUACACAUGUAAGUCUGUGAUAUUGGUAUUUACUAAUUAUAGAAGUCUAUGGUAGGAGCUUAAAUUGAAAAUAAUUGUCUUACUUUGAACUGAGAAAAAGAUUCCCUUUUCUAUUUGUUAAUGUAAAAUUAUAUGCUCGUAAAUGAUCCUCUGUUUAAUUGUUUCCAAAUAAAUGAGGGAUAAUAAAAUUAAAACUCAUCCAUAAGAGACACGAGACCAAUCUUAAUAUAUUCUCGAACUUGAUAAAAACAUCUCCAUAUAUUGUAU